rnacentral:rRNA from 1 species
AUACGGAGGAUCCGAGCGUUAUCCGGAUUUUUUGGGUUUAAAGGGUGCGCAGGCGGCCAUUUAAGUCAGCGGUUAAAUCGUGGGGCUCAACCCCAUUCUGCCGUUGAUACUGGGUGGCUUGAUUGCGGUCGAGGUUGGCGGAAUUCGUUGUGUAGCGGUGAAAUGCAUAGAUAUGACGAAGAACACCGAUUGCGUAGGCAUCUGACCAGACCGCAAAUGACGCUCAUGCACGAAAGUGCGGGGAUCGAACAGGAUUAGAUACCCUGGUAGUCCGCACAGUAAACGAUGAAUACUUGUUUUCGGCGAUAUAAUGUCGGAGGCAAAGCGAAAGCGAUAAGUAUUCCACCUGGGGAGUACGCCGGCAACGGUGAAACUCAAAUGAAUUGGCGGGG